rnacentral:sRNA from 1 species
GGGCUUCGUCCAACUUGUCGCCAACAACAUUCUCAGCGCCAUUGCCCAUACCAACUCUGUGAUGGUUGUCCAAUGCAUCAAACCCCUCGAGAUCUUCACCGGAUUCGAAACUCCGAAUCGCUACGUGGUCCAUGACAUGUACUGCCGCCCGCUGCUUUAUUGUAUGGAAAGAUCGAACAUCUUCGCUCGUCAGUACGAAGGAAACGAUCGUAACUUCGGAAUGCAGAUCAUGGAUACCCACGGAGCUCAGGUGAUGACGUGCUUCAGAGGAAGACCAUGCUGCUCGACCGAUGAUUUUCUGAGCACCCAGUUCCUCGAUCAGCAGAUUGGGAUGAUGAAGAAGGAGUGCUGCAAUCCUAAUGUGAGUGCUAGUAUCAAGUAAAACUACAGUAAUCCAGAGCCCUGAAGCAUUCUUUGGAAAAAUCACAUUUUUCUCAAAAGAGAUCUUUUCGCUGAUCUGAGUUUGCAUCAAUCUUGAUCGAGCUUAGAGCCAGGGCUGUGCGGCAAAUUUUGAAACUUGCAGUGCUCGGCAAACGGCAAAUUUGCCGCACACCCCUGAUGCCCUAUCUAUAGUCCGAUCUAUAAUAUAUCUGUAACUUGGCACAUAGCAACCUAGAGUCUUUCCGCUUUGCUCUGCCGCCCAGCCGCAAGACAUUGAUACACAAAAGAGAGCAAAGCGGAAGGACUGUAGGUUGCAAUGUGCCAAGUUUGUACUGACAUAGAUAUAGACUAUAGGUUACUAGACUGUCCAAAUGUCUUUCAGUAUUAAGAUGUUUAUCUAGAAAGCCUAUUACUUGGUACAUAGACGUACAGGUUUCACGCCUUUGCUCUGCCGCCCAGCGGCUAGGCAUUGACACACUAAAAGAGAGAAACACAGAGCAAGGCGGAAGGACCGUACGUCACCAAUGUACCAAGUUACAGAUAUAAAUUGCACUAUACAAUUGCACUAUACGUAGAUCUAUAGAUCUAUAUCUAUAUACCGCUGAACGGCAACAUCGGGACUAGCAUGACACCUUGUACAAGGGCAAACUCGGCAAAUUUGCCGAGCUCAACUAACUCCGAAAAAUUUGAUGUUUUUUGAAGCACCAAAACUACUGAAUUUUUAACGCGGCAAAUUCGCCAAAUUCGCCAAACUUGCCGCACACCCCUGAUCAGAGCAAUCGUUCCUAUAGGCUGAAGCUUUAUUAGCUCUUCACCUGAAUCUCCCAUCCUCCUUGAGACACAUCCUAUUAACCUUUUCUUUCAGUUCGAGCUCGUCGGAUCCGGCUGCAACCAGCCCCUGCUCAUCCAAUCUCCAGGUUGUGCAGGCUGUGGUGGCACCCAGAAGUUCCCAGUGAUGACCUUCAAUGGUGUGCUCGUCGGAGAAAUUGUCCGCCUCUACCCGGGAUUCAUGCAGGAGAUGUUCACCGAUGCGGACACCUAUAUUGUUCAUUGUAAGCAUUUUAUUCUAAGCUUCUGAUCUUUUCUAUCUUAAUUUUGGAAUAUUUCAGUCCCAAUGGACAUGCCGCCAAUCUUGAAGCUUCUGCUUGUCACCUCGGUUUUCCUGAUCGACUUCACCUACUUCGAGGAUCGUAACCAGGAUCAACAUCGUAACGGCGGAAUGCAUAGCGGAAUGCAUAGCAGCUUCUAAACUUAUAAAGGAUCCUGUUCACAAAUUCACUUGCAAACUAGAAUAAACUAGUUUUUUCUGGCUUCUUCUUACUAUACCUACUAGCUGAUAAUUUCUCAGCAAAAGAUUGCGUUUUCUGGGCACAAAUGACUUGUUAAAAUUGCGAUAACUAAUACACGUGCAGCAGACAACAAUUCCGCAGAUAAUUUCCUAUUUUUUUCCAACAGAAAUUUAAAUCUGACGUGAAGUUCCACAUAGUACAAUCAGAUCAGAUUUUCAAAAUUAAUUUAUUUCCGACUUGUGACCAACACUUUUCUAUGUGAGUUUUCUUAUUUCUCUUGGUUUUCCCUCAAAACCCGCAUAAUUUUUUCAGAAAAUGAAUAUUCAACCGGGACAGCUACCAUUGAAAGCAAUUAGCUUAACGUCCGCGGUGAAGUCACCUGAGGAGGUUGAGCAGGAUUCAAAGAAGGAUGAGCCACGUGCCGAGGGAGCGGGGUUCGGUAGAAGAAACAAUGCUGGAACGAAGCUGCCAGCGGCGAGAUCGACGCCAAUGAAAAUUCCGAAUCAGGUGGCAGCGAUGCCGGUUCAGAUGACU